rnacentral:rRNA from 1 species
AGUGAACGCUGGCGGUAGGCCUAACACAUGCAAGUCGAACGGCAGCACAGUAAGAGCUUGCUCUUACGGGUGGCGAGUGGCGGACGGGUGAGGAAUUCAUCGGAAUCUACUUUUUCGUGGGGGAUAACGUAGGGAAACUUACGCUAAUACCGCAUACGACCUACGGGUGAAAGCAGGGGAUCUUCGGACCUUGCGCGAUUGAAUGAGCCGAUGUCGGAUUAGCUAGUUGGCGGGGUAAAGGCCCACCAAGGCGACGAUCCGUAGCUGGUCUGAGAGGAUGAUCAGCCACACUGGAACGGAGACACGGUCCAGACUCCUACGGGAGGCAGCAGUGGGGAAUAUUGGACAAUGGGCGCAAGCCUGAUCCAGCCAUACCGCGUGGGUGAAGAAGGCCUUCGGGUUGUAAAGCCCUUUUGUUGGGAAAGAAAAGCAGCAGGUUAAUACCCCGCUGUUCUGACGGUACCCAAAGAAUAAGCACCGGCUAACUUCGUG